rnacentral:rRNA from 1 species
CCUGGCUCAGGACGAACGCUGGCGGCGUGCCUAAUACAUGCAAGUCGAACGAACUCUGGUAUUGAUUGGUGCUUGCAUCAUGAUUUACAUUUGAGUGAGUGGCGAACUGGUGAGUAACACGUGGGAAACCUGCCCAGAAGCGGGGGAUAACACCUGGAAACAGAUGCUAAUACCGCAUAACAACUUGGACCGCAUGGUCCGAGUUUGAAAGAUGGCUUCGGCUAUCACUUUUGGAUGGUCCCGCGGCGUAUUAGCUAGAUGGUGGGGUAACGGCUCACCAUGGCAAUGAUACGUAGCCGACCUGAGAGGGUAAUCGGCCACAUUGGGACUGAGACACGGCCCAAACUCCUACGGGAGGCAGCAGUAGGGAAUCUUCCACAAUGGACGAAAGUCUGAUGGAGCAACGCCGCGUGAGUGAAGAAGGGUUUCGGCUCGUAAAACUCUGUUGUUAAAGAAGAACAUAUCUGAGAGUAACUGUUCAGGUAUUGACGGUAUUUAACCAGAAAGCCACGGCUAACUACGUGCCAGCAGCCGCGGUAAUACGUAGGUGGCAAGCGUUGUCCGGAUUUAUUGGGCGUAAAGCGAGCGCAGGCGGUUUUUUAAGUCUGAUGUGAAAGCCUUCGGCUCAACCGAAGAAGUGCAUCGGAAACUGGGAAACUUGAGUGCAGAAGAGGACAGUGGAACUCCAUGUGUAGCGGUGAAAUGCGUAGAUAUAUGGAAGAACACCAGUGGCGAAGGCGGCUGUCUGGUCUGUAACUGACGCUGAGGCUCGAAAGUAUGGGUAGCAAACAGGAUUAGAUACCCUGGUAGUCCAUACCGUAAACGAUGAAUGCUAAGUGUUGGAGGGUUUCCGCCCUUCAGUGCUGCAGCUAACGCAUUAAGCAUUCCGCCUGGGGAGUACGGCCGCAAGGCUGAAACUCAAAGGAAUUGACGGGGGCCCGCACAAGCGGUGGAGCAUGUGGUUUAAUUCGAAGCUACGCGAAGAACCUUACCAGGUCUUGACAUACUAUGCAAAUCUAAGAGAUUAGACGUUCCCUUCGGGGACAUGGAUACAGGUGGUGCAUGGUUGUCGUCAGCUCGUGUCGUGAGAUGUUGGGUUAAGUCCCGCAACGAGCGCAACCCUUAUUAUCAGUUGCCAGCAUUAAGUUGGGCACUCUGGUGAGACUGCCGGUGACAAACCGGAGGAAGGUGGGGAUGACGUCAAAUCAUCAUGCCCCUUAUGACCUGGGCUACACACGUGCUACAAUGGAUGGUACAACGAGUUGCGAACUCGCGAGAGUAAGCUAAUCUCUUAAAGCCAUUCUCAGUUCGGAUUGUAGGCUGCAACUCGCCUACAUGAAGUCGGAAUCGCUAGUAAUCGCGGAUCAGCAUGCCGCGGUGAAUACGUUCCCGGGCCUUGUACACACCGCCCGUCACACCAUGAGAGUUUGUAACACCCAAAGUCGGUGGGGUAACCUUUUAGGAACCAGCCGCCUAAG